AUUGAACGCUGGCGGCAUGCUUUACACAUGCAAGUCGAACGGUAACAGGCCGCAAGGUGCUGACGAGUGGCGAACGGGUGAGUAAUGCAUCGGAACGUGCCCAGUCGUGGGGGAUAACGCAGCGAAAGCUGUGCUAAUACCGCAUACGAUCUGUGGAUGAAAGCGGGGGACCGUAAGGCCUCGCGCGAUUGGAGCGGCCGAUGUCAGAUUAGGUAGUUGGUGGGGUAAAGGCUCACCAAGCCGACGGUCUGUAGCUGGUCUGAGAGGACGACCAGCCACACCGGGACUGAGACACGGCCCAGACUCCUACGGGAGGCAGCAGUGGGGAAUUUUGGACAAUGGGCGCAAGCCUGAUCCAGCAAUGCCGCGUGCAGGAAGAAGGCCUUCGGGUUGUAAACUGCUUUUGUACGGAGCGAAAAGGCUCUCUCUAAUACAGGGGGCUCAUGACGGUACCGUAAGAAUAAGCACCGGCUAACUACGCGCCAGCCGCCGCGGUAACAC
rnacentral:rRNA from 1 species